CAGUAGCCGCGGGAAUACAGAGGGUGCAAGCGUUAAUCGGAAUUACUGGGCGUAAAGCGCGCGUAGGUGGUUUGUUAAGUUGGAUGUGAAAGCCCCGGGCUCAACCUGGGAACUGCAUCCAAAACUGGCAAGCUAGAGUACGGUAGAGGGUGGUGGAAUUUCCUGUGUAGCGGUGAAAUGCGUAGAUAUAGGAAGGAACACCAGUGGCGAAGGCGACCACCUGGACUGAUACUGACACUGAGGUGCGAAAGCGUGGGGAGCAAACAGGAUUAGAUACCCCGGUAGUCCCUGUCUUUUAUAC
rnacentral:rRNA from 1 species